CCAGGGUAUUUGUAAAUAUAGAGGAACGAGCCCAAGGGAAGGAACUGGAGAGGAGAGGAGGGAGAAGAGAUGACUCUGAAAGCAAAGUUACACACCUUUCACCACAACACUUAGGAGAAAAAAAUUUGCUCUAUAGUUUCCAUUAAGUUUGAACGUGCAGGCAGGAAAGUAUCUUCAGGUGAGAGUAUUUAAAGAGGAACUGCUGCGUUCCUCCUACACUUUUAGAAGAUUUCUUCAGGCUAACUGUGCAAAGCUCAAAACGUGUUGAAAGCUGCAACCAACAAAGGUUAAGGGUUUUUUUUUUUUUUUUUGAGAGAGCAAUAUAAAAUCUAGAGAGGUUCAGUUUAGGCAUCUAUCCCAGAAUGUAAAUGUCUUUCUUUGGUGAUACAGAAACAAAUACAGCCCAGUGUUUUGAAGAUUUUACGUUCAUAGUUGGAAUAUUUAAGGUCCCAGAUAAUAAUUAGGAAAACAAAUCAGGACCGAAACUCCAGAGAGUCUGAAAUUGGCUGACCAUGGAACACCUAACCCGAAAAUAUGCAUAUCCCUUUCAGAGGGCAAAAGCACUUUUGAAGUGGCCUCCGAUGCGAAGGUGAGAUCAGAAAUACGCCUGUGGAACCCUCUACAUGCGGAUCUGGCAAGCAUUCAACACAAACGCAAUUAGAGGGCUUACCCUUGCAUGAAAUAUUUGCUUUCCUGAUAGUCACUAACUUUAAACUUUAGGAAUGCCAGGGCAUAGUGUUUCUGUAUCAGAACUAGAAUCCUCUACUUCACUUUCUUCAGCUAUUAUUUUUGAAGUUUGCAUAUCGUAUUAAAGUCCCACCAAACAAUAAAUAGGAAAGCAUGAUUUUAUUAAAAUCCUCUUGAGACAACCGCAUCUGCCCUGGCUAUUCUUUGAUCAGGGUCUGAGAGGUUGCAGCAUGCACACUCACCCAGAGGUACUUGAGAGCAUUGUUCACGUAUUCAAUGAAUAUUGAAUGCUAGAGUGAAUCUACACUGGGCUUAGAUCAGCAUAAAUCUCCACAACUCACCUUCAAUGGUGGACACAGGCAACUAACCAGG
rnacentral:lncRNA from 1 species